UGCAAAGCGUUUUACUGCCUGGGUAA
rnacentral:piRNA from 1 species